rnacentral:rRNA from 1 species
AGUGAACGCUGGCGGCGUGCUUAACACAUGCAAGUCGAACGAGAACGGAUUAUAGCUUGCUAUAAUUGUCAGCUAAGUGGCGCACGGGUGAGUAAUGUAUAGGUAAUAUGCCUCUUACUAAGGGAUAACAAAUGGAAACGUUUGCUAAUACCUUAUACUCCUUAUUAACAGAAGUUAAUAAGGGAAAGAUUUAUUGGUAAGAGAUUAGCCCGUAUUGUAUCAGUUAGUUGGUGGGGUAAUGGCUUACCAAGACUAUGACACAUAACUGGUUUGAGAGGAUGAUCAGUCACACUGGAACUGAGACACGGUCCAGACUCCUGCGGGAGGCAGCAGUGGGGAAUAUUGCACAAUGGACGAAAGUCUGAUGCAGCAACGCCGCGUGGAGGAUGACACAUUUCGGUGCGUAAACUCCUUUUAUAUGAGAAGAUAAUGACGGUAUUAUAUGAAUAAGCACCGGCUAACUCCGUGCCAGCCGCCGCAGUAA